rnacentral:misc_RNA from 1 species
AGGCUUGGUGGUUGCCAGUAUGGCAUUACUGGUUGCUUUUCAGGAGAGAUUGGUUUACGUGGCGGUUCUUCUUGGGCUUACUAAAUCUUUCGCGAUCAACCCAUCUCGGCUUCGCCUUGUUUAUGAGGAUGUGUGGCUUCGAUCUUCUGAUGGAGUCCGCCUUCACUCGUGGUUCAUUAAACUCUUCCCUGAUUGCCGAGGUCCUACCAUCCUUUUUUUCCAAGAGAAUGCUGGAAACAUCGCCCAUCGUCUUGAAAUGGU